GUAGCUCAGACUAGUCUCCAACUUAGUAGGCAGCUGAAGGUGGCCUUGUACUCUUCUACAGAUACCUGGCUCUGGCACAGGCUGAGAGGCUCAUCAUGGCUCCUGCAGCAAUGCUGCCAUCGACCGAGUGCCCCCAUGCCUCUUGGAUUCAGUGUCACCAAGGAAAUUGCUGAUCUGCCAAAGAACUCUCCGAGCAAAGCUGUGAAGUGGAGAAAGGGUAACAAAAGGCCGUGGAGAAGGACACUGAAAGGUCAUCCAGAAGACCUGGAUCCCGAAAUGCAAACAUCGGCGGUCUCCUUAAAUCCACGCAUCCAGGAAGGUGUUCAUAACCUCUUCUCAAGUGGCCAGAGCCAGGAUCAUACAGCAUAAGGAUGAAGCUGCCCUCUGAGCAUGCCCAUAUACUUUUCUUU
rnacentral:lncRNA from 1 species